UACGUAGGGUGCAAGCGUUGUCCGGAAUUAUUGGGCGUAAAGAGCUCGUAGGCGGUUUGUCGCGUCUGCUGUGAAAACUCAGGGCUUAACCCUGAGCCUGCAGUGGGUACGGGCAGACUAGAGUGUUGCAGGGGAGACUGGAAUUCCUGGUGUAGCGGUGAAAUGCGCAGAUAUCAGGAGGAACACCGGUGGCGAAGGCGGGUCUCUGGGGCAACAACUGACGCUGAGGAGCGAAAGCGUGGGGAGCGAACAGG
rnacentral:rRNA from 1 species